GCGGGUUUAGCUCAGUUGGGAGAGCGUUAGACUGAAGAUCUAAAGGUCCUGUGUUCGAUCCACAGAACUCGCA
rnacentral:tRNA from 1 species